CCUACGGGGGGCUGCAGUGGGGAAUAUUGGACAAUGGGGGGAACCCUGAUCCAGCCAUGCCGCGUGUGUGAAGAAGGCCCUCGGGUUGUAAAGCACUUUCAGUGAGGAAGAACGCCUGGUGGUUAAUACCCAUCAGGAAAGACAUCACUCACAGAAGAAGCACCGGCUAACUCCGUGCCAGCAGCCGCGGUAAUACGGAGGGUGCGAGCGUUAAUCGGAAUUACUGGGCGUAAAGCGCGCGUAGGUGGCUUGAUGAGCCGGUUGUGAAAGCCCCGGGCUCAACCUGGGAACGGCAUCCGGAACUGUCAAGCUAGAGUGCAGGAGAGGAAGGUAGAAUUCCCGGUGUAGCGGUGAAAUGCGUAGAGAUCGGGAGGAAUACCAGUGGCGAAGGCGGCCUUCUGGACUGACACUGACACUGAGGUGCGAAAGCGUGGGUAGCAAACAGGAUUAGAUACCCCAGUAGUC
rnacentral:rRNA from 1 species